rnacentral:tRNA from 1 species
AGGGUUGUAGUUAAAUUAACAUUUAAUUUGCAAUUAAAAGAUGCUAUAAUAUAGCCAUCCUUA